GUCCUUUAGAUUAUAAUUUAAGGUCUAACCUGCCCACUGAAAAUUUAAAUGGCCGCAGUAUUUUGACUGUGCAAAGGUAGCAUAAUCAUUAGUUUCUUAAUUAGAAGCUUGUAUGAAUGGUUGAACGAGAAACUUUCUGUCUCAAUUUAUAAUUUAAAAUUUUAUUUUUAAGUCAAAAAGCUUAAAUAAUUUUAAAAGACGAGAAGACCCUAUAGAGUUUUAUAAUUUAAAUAAUUUUUUUUUAAGAAUUAUAGGUAUUAUUAAAAUUAUUUUAUUGGGGUGAUAUAUAAAUUUAAUAAACUUUAUAUUAUUAUUAACAUUAAUUUAUGAGUGUAUGAUCCAUUUUUUAUGAUUAAAAGAAAAAAUUACCUUAGGGAUAACAGCGUAAUUUUUUUUUAGAGUUCUAAUCGAAAAAAAAGUUUGCGACCUCGAUGUUGGAUUAAAGUUAAUUUAUGGUGUAGUAGCUUUAAGAUUAGGUCUGUUCGACCUUUAAAACUUUACAUGAUCUGAGUUUAGACCGGCGUGAGCCAGGUUGGUUUCUAUCUUUAAAUAAUUAAAAUAUUUUAGUACGAAAGGACCAAAUAUUUUUAAUAUUUAAUUAAUUUUGAAUA
rnacentral:rRNA from 1 species